rnacentral:tRNA from 1 species
AGAAGAGGGGCUCAGUGGUAGAACUUCUGCUUCAUCUGCAGAAGGUGCAAGGUUUGAUCCCUGGCGCCUCCA